CAGCAGCCACGGUAAAACGAAGGGGGCUAGCGUUGUUCGGAUUUACUGGGCGUAAAGCGCACGUAGGCGGACUUUUAAGUCAGGGGUGAAAUCCCGGGGCUCAACCCCGGAACUGCCUUUGAUACUGGAAGUCUUGAGUAUGGUAGAGGUGAGUGGAAUUCCGAGUGUAGAGGUGAAAUUCGUAGAUAUUCGGAGGAACACCAGUGGCGAAGGCGGCUCACUGGACCAUUACUGACGCUGAGGUGCGAAAGCGUGGGGAGCAAACAGGAUUAGAGACCCCUGUAGUCCCUGUCUCUUAUAC
rnacentral:rRNA from 1 species